rnacentral:rRNA from 1 species
AUUGAACGCUGGCGGCAUGCUUUACACAUGCAAGUCGAACGGCAGCGCGGGCUUCGGCCUGGCGGCGAGUGGCGAACGGGUGAGUAAUACAUCGGAACGUGCCCAGUAGUUGGGGAUAGCUCGGCGAAAGCCGGAUUAAUACCGCAUACGACCUGAGGGUGAAAGCGGGGGAUCUUCGGACCUCGCGCUAUUUGAGCGGCCGAUGGCAGAUUAGCUAGUUGGUGGGGUAAAGGCCUACCAAGGCGACGAUCUGUAGCUGGUCUGAGAGGACGACCAGCCACACUGGGACUGAGACACGGCCCAGACUCCUACGGGAGGCAGCAGUGGGGAAUUUUGGACAAUGGGCGAAAGCCUGAUCCAGCAAUGCCGCGUGUGUGAUGAAGGCCUUCGGGUUGUAAAGCACUUUUGGCGGGAACGAAAAGGACUGUGCCAAUACCACGGUUCGAUGACGGUACCCGCAGAAUAAGCACCGGCUAACUACGUG